GAUGAACGCUGGCGGCGUGCCUAAUACAUGCAAGUCGAACGCUGGAGAUCUAGCUUGCUAGAUCGAAGGAGUGGCGAACGGGUGAGUAAUACAUAAGCAACCUACCCACGAAGACUGGGAUAAUCUCUGGAAACGGGGACUAAUACCGGAUAGGUAAUCGGAAGGCAUCUUCUGGUUAUUAAAGGUUAAAAACACUGGUGGAUGGGCUUAUGGCGCAUUAGUUAGUUGGUGAGGUAACGGCCCACCAAGACGAUGAUGCGAAGCCGGCCUGAGAGGGUGAACGGCCACAUUGGGACUGAGACACGGCCCAGACUCCUACGGGAGGCAGCAGUAGGGAAUUUUCGGCAAUGGGGGCAACCCUGACCGAGCCACGCCGCGUGAGUGAAGACGGCCUUCGGGUUGUAAAGCUCUGUUGUAAGGGAAGAACGGUAGAUAGAGAAUAUCUAAGUGACGGUACCUUACCAGAAAGCCACGGCUAACUACGUG
rnacentral:rRNA from 1 species